UACGGGGGGGGCAAGCGUUGUUCGGAAUUACUGGGCGUAAAGGGCUCGUAGGUGGCCAACUAAGUCAGACGUGAAAUCCCUCGGCUUAACCGGGGAACUGCGUCUGAUACUGGAUGGCUUGAGUUUGGGAGAGGGACGCGGAAUUCCAGGUGUAGCGGUGAAAUGCGCAGAUAUCAGGAGGAACACCAAUGGCGAAGGCAGCACUCUGGGACGGUACUGACGCUGAGACGCGAAAGCGUGGGGAGCAAACAGG
rnacentral:rRNA from 1 species